rnacentral:lncRNA from 1 species
AUUAGCGAGUUCCUGUGCAUAUCUAACUACAUAUAAAAGAGGCAGUAGAAAGGUUACUGUUCACAAGCCGUUUGGGUCGGCUCACAAGCCAAAUGUUAGGUCGGCUCAGUUAGUGGGGAGUCGUUGGAACUUGGAAAUGAAUCAGAGUCUGUCUGUUGCCUUGUUAUUAUCUUCUUUCUAGACUAACUCUGAAAAUGUCUUUCUUCAAAGUUCGGUUUUCAUUUUCAUCCUCAUCUUCACUCAACAAAAGGAAACCCUAGCCCCAUUUCGUCUGUUCUUUUAGCAACAACCAUACUGCCGUGGCCUUCAACGAUAUGUUCCGACAAACCAUUCACCAUUCGCCCGAAUCUGCGAAGAAGCGAAUUUUCUGCCGAUCUUUGUUAUUUUCUUCAGCUUUAUUUAAGGUAUGUUGUUGUCGUUUCUGUCUAUACAUGAAAAUUUAGCUGGGCUCCUCUUCGUUUACCUUCAUCUAGCUUAGAAGUUUAAAAUUUUGUUCGAUCUUCGCUUUUAAUGUUUUCAUGAGGAUUAGAGGAGGUUGCUGUCGAUAUAUCGGAGAUUUUUUGGCUGAUUUGGGAGAUAGGGAAGGGCUUGAAUCAAGGAGAGAUGAGAGACAUGAAAGAUCUUCAGGAAAUUUAGAAAAAGCCACCGGAGAAAGGUUUUAACAAUUGAUGAGUCAUCAUUUGCAAAUUGCAAGUAGCUUCUAUCGAAGCUGUUCAUAUAUCUGAUGGUUGUAUACUUGUACUCUUUUAGUUUGUGUUUUAAUUGCAAUAAUUGCUUUUAUACAUGUUAUUUGAUAAUUAAUUUUGUUAUCCCCAUGCUUUACUGAAAACAAUUUACUUAUUGCUUAGAUCACAUUAUGAAAGCUCUAUUUAUUUAUUUAUUUACUUUUAUCUAGGAUAGUCUCUUUGAACUUGUACUUGAUUUUUUCUAAUCAUUUCAUGUUGUCUUGAUACAGUUUCAUGAGCAGAAGGAUCAAGUGGCUGUGGAGUUGAUACUUUCAAGUAGCAUUUCUAGGUGUAGAACACCCUAGAUUAUAUGGGAAAAUGGUAUCAAUUUGUUUUCCUUUAUCCUGCUUUAGUAAAUAUUGUUAAAUCUCUCUAUAAAUUGUUAUUUGUACUGUUAUGGGAAUAAAAUCCUGAUUGUUUUUAAUGUUUUAUAUUGUGAACUCCUUCUCUUUAAGUUAAUACAUAAGAAUACUAAGUAGCUACCCUGUUUCAGGCUAGGAAUUGCAUGUGCAGAACUUGCAAAUACAUAUUAUAGAGAUGAAGUGCGAAGAGUUGAAGCGUAUCUUGAAAGAAAAAACAUUGGCUCAAUAGAGUUAAAUAUUCGUUACUGUUUCAAAGUAAGGGCUGUCUUCCAUCGGGAUGUAGUUCUUCAUAUUGCUUGCCUUCAGGUUGCAUUUAUGAGUUAACUAAGACAAUUUGAUGUGAAAUUUUUGUUGAAUGCAUCUUUUUUUUAUAAUGAUAAAUUCACUGGUUUGAUCUUUUCAAAAUUAGUAG